AACACAGGUGCUGCAUGGCUGUCGUCAGCUCGUGUCGUGAGAUGUUGGGUUAAGUCCCGCAACGAGCGCAACCCUUGUCAUUAGUUGCUACGAAAGGGCACUCUAAUGAGACUGCCGGUGACAAACCGGAGGAAGGUGGGGAUGACGUCAAGUCCUCAUGGCCCUUAUGGGUAGGGCUUCACACGUCAUACAAUGGUGCAUACAGAGGGCUGCCAACCCGCGAGGGGGAGCUAAUCCCAGAAAGUGCAUCGUAGUCCGGAUUGUAGUCUGCAACUCGACUACAUGAAGUUGGAAUCGCUAGUAAUCGCGGAUCAGCAUGUCGCGGUGAAUACGUUCCCGGGUCUU
rnacentral:rRNA from 1 species